UCCUAUUCAGGAAGCACUCUUUCAAC
rnacentral:piRNA from 1 species